rnacentral:lncRNA from 1 species
UUCUUCAACUGUGAUGCCAUGAUGGUUGGAGAAAAGCUGGUGGAAAAUCUGAAGAUCUGAGAAGGUGAGGUGAACUCAAUUGGGGACACGACAUUUUACAAAUCAUUAAGCCUACAACUAUGUGCUGGGCCUUAGUUUUCCCAUCAGAGGAACAGUGACUCCUAGAUGGUCAUAGAGGGCACAUUGGCCCAGCACAACUAACACUGCACCCCUUAUGGUACAGAUGUUAGUGAAAAUGAUAUUAAGGCUUUCGUUUCUUUAAUAACAUACAAAGUGCUUUAGUUUAUAUACCAUUUAAAGGAGGGGCUAAGUUUGGUGUUCACAGUGCUCAAAAUUAUACAGUCAAUGAGUUAAGCUCACCAUGGAGCUAAGGAAAAUGGGUUUCAUUGAUCCUGGAAUUGAUACAUUUGCUCCUCAUAUGAGCACUGAUGAAAGGAAUAUUCUAGAUUACAGAUACUUAUCCUGAUAGUAUAGGCUAUUCUGAUAUUAAUCCACAUGCCUACAUCAUUGGUUAACAGAUCAGUCCAAGUGGCAUCCAUGCAACUCUGCCAUUGGAGAGUUAGCCUGCAUGGAUUUGAAAUGUUCAUAAAUGCUGCUUCUUGCAUGAACGUUUUAGUAUUUUCUCUCAGUGUAGGGGAUAAAACCUUUAUCAUUCAGGAUUUGGUAAUAUGAUCCUUCAUACAAUGAAUUAUUUAUAUCAUUUUGAUGCUAGAUGUGUUGGUGUUGGUAAGAUUGAUGAGAUCACAUGGAAUCCAGAUAAUGUUUAUCCAGAGGAGUUAGAAGACUCUAAAUUACCAACUGGGAACAUUAUUGUCUUUUCUACAGUCAAACCUUAUGAUAGAAAUAUCCUGAAAGCAGAUUAUAAUAUAUGCACUUCUGAGUAAAGUGAAAAACAGCUUACCAAGCACAAUGCUUGCAAAAUCAAAACAAAAAUCACUGCUGAAGGUGGUAAUGGACCAAUAGCAGCAGGGAUUAAGAUCUUCAUUAUGGUGAAUAGUUUGAUAAUCCCCAUUUUCUACUUGAAUUCUAGAGGAGUAACUAUCUUAUUUAAAUAAUUUUAAAAUAUCUGAAUUAUGUCAGCUACAUAUAUUUAAAUAUAAAAGGAAUUUUAACUCCAUUUGCUAAUGUCUGUUCAAGAGAGUUUAGAAUGAAAAUGUGGAAAGCCUAGUGGGG